rnacentral:misc_RNA from 1 species
GAAAUGCGAUAAGUAGUGCGAAUUGCAGAAUUCAGUGAAUCAUCGAAUCUUUGAACGCACAUUGCGCCCCUUGGUAUUCCAUGGGGCAUGCCUGUUCGAGCGUCAUUUGUACCCUCAAGCUCUGCUUGGUGUUGGGUGUUUGUCCCGUCUCCGCGCGUGGACUCGCCCCAAAGUGAUUGGCAGCCGGCGUACUGGUCCCGGAGCGCAGCACAUGUCGCGCAAACGAGUGCCUUGGUACGGCGGCGUCCAUAAGCCCCUCUCUCACGCUCUUGACCUCGGAUCAGGUAGGGAUACCCGCUGAACUUAAGC